CUGCAGCCCGAGUGGUGAUCGAUUUUAUUGAGCCUAAAGCGUCCGUAGCCGGACUAGUAAACUCUUGGGUAAAUUGGGCAGCUUAACUGUCCAAAUUCCGAGAGGACUGCUAGUCUUGGGACCGGGAGAGGUCAGAGGUACUCCAGGGGUAGGGGCUAAAUCCGAUAUGCUUUCGUGGCAUUCGGUUAGCAUUCCUGUAAUCCUUGGGGGACCACCAGUGGCGAAGGCGUCUGACUAGAACGGAUCCGACGGUAAGGGACGAAACCCUGGGGCGCGAACCGGAUUAGAGACCCGAGUAGUCC
rnacentral:rRNA from 1 species